AUUGACGUAUGUAGUCAUGGUAACAUUAUAGAUGAACUGGAAACCAAGAAACAGCAAAUCAUAGAAUUGGAAAUGACACUUGAUUAUCGAGUCAAAACAUUGGAGGCUGAUUUGGAACAGUCGGAAGCUAAUAUUGCAGCACUGAAGGAAACAAACGAAGCACUGGUUCAAAACAAAAAUGAUGCAUUGGCACACAGUGAUGAAGUGGAGCAUGAAGUCAUCCAGUUACAGG